rnacentral:rRNA from 1 species
GAUGAACGCUGGCGGCGUGCCUAAUACAUGCAAGUCGAGCGAACAGAUGAGGAGCUUGCUCUUCUGACGUUAGCGGCGGACGGGUGAGUAACACGUGGAUAACCUACCUAUAAGACUGGGAUAACUUCGGGAAACCGGAGCUAAUACCGGAUAAUAUAUUGAACCGCAUGGUUCAAUAGUGAAAGACGGUUUUGCUGUCACUUAUAGAUGGAUCCGCGCCGCAUUAGCUAGUUGGUAAGGUAACGGCUUACCAAGGCAACGAUGCGUAGCCGACCUGAGAGGGUGAUCAGCCACACUGGAACUGAGACACGGUCCAGACUCCUACGGGAGGCAGCAGUAGGGAAUCUUGCGCAAUGGGCGAAAGCCUGACGGAGCAACGCCGCGUGAGUGAUGAAGGUCUUCGGAUCGUAAAACUCUGUUAUUAGGGAAGAACAAAUGUGUAAGUAACUAUGCACGUCUUGACGGUACCUAAUCAGAAAGCCACGGCUAACUACGUG